UGAAUCAAUGAUAACUACUGGUGGGGUAUGAGUUGUGUCUGACAAAUACAAGUCUAGAACUCUGAGGUCUAA
ensembl:snoRNA